GUUGGCCAGUCUGUCGCUGAUACCGAUGGUAUAAGAGGAAAGUCCGGGCAACACAGAGCAUCCUACUUCCUAACAGAAAGCUAUUGGUGACAGUAGAGUAAUGCAGAAGAAAAUAACCGCUAUUUAUAGUAAGGGUGAGAAGGUAAGGUAAGAGCUUACCAGCUGUAUGGUGACAUAUAGGCUGUGCAUCUUAGGAGUUGUAAGGUCAUGUAUACUGGCAUUAAUGAGAGUUGCUCGCUCCACGUCAGAGGGUAGACCGCUUGAACUUAACGGUAACGUUAAGUCUAGAUAAAUGACAGACACUUCUUUGUAAGACAGAACCCGGCUUAUCGGUCGACUGUU
rnacentral:RNase_P_RNA from 1 species